CCUACGGGAGGCAGCAGUGGGGAAUUUUCCGCAAUGGGCGCAAGCCUGACGGAGCAAUACCGCGUGAGGGAUGAAGGCCUGUGGGUUGUAAACCUCUUUUCUCAAGGAAGAAGUUCUGACGGUACUUGAGGAAUAAGCAUCGGCUAACUCUGUGCCAGCAGCCGCGGUAAUACAGAGGAUGCAAGCGUUAUCCGGAAUUAUUGGGCAUAAAGCGUCUGUAGGUUGUUUGGUAAGUCUGCUGUUAAAGACUAGGGCUUAACCCUAGAAAAGCAGUGGAAACUGCUAUACUUGAGUGUGGUAGAGGUAGAGGGAAUUCCUAGUGUAGCGGUGAAAUGCGUAGAUAUUAGGAAGAACACCAAUGGCGAAAGCACUUUACUGGGCCAUAACUGACACUGAGAGACGACAGCUAGGGGAGCAAAUGGGAUUAGAUACCCCAGUAGUCCUAGCCGUAAACUAUGGAUACUAGAUGUUGUACGUAUUAACCCGUACAGUAUCGUAGCUAAGGCGUUAAGUAUCCCGCCUGGGAAGUACG
rnacentral:rRNA from 1 species